CUUGAUCUUUGUUCUUCUGGCA
rnacentral:sRNA from 1 species